AAAAAGGCAAACCCUAGGUUUCCGUGUCCAACUUUAACUGUCCGUCUUAUAUGAAAUUUUUUUUAUAAUUCGUAUUUUUAUUAUUGUUAGAUGAUAAAACAUUGAUUAAUAUUUUGUGCGUGACUUGUCUUUUUAAUUUUUUUCAUAAUUUUUUAAAUAAGACAGACGGUCAAACGUUGGAUACGGAAAUC
rnacentral:pre_miRNA from 1 species